UUUAAGUUUUUCACGUGAUCAUUCACACCGACUAAACCCUCCCGUAACUCUUGGCUUUCACAUCAUUAUCAAUCGGACUCAUUUCGAUACGAAACCUUCGCUGAUCGAAAAUGGCGGAUCAGAAUCAUUCAGUGUCGCCUGUGAGAGACGGAAUGCUGACCUAUUGUUACCUCCUUCUUUACAUAGCUCUCUCCAGCGGUCAGAUCUUCUUCAAUAAGUGGGUUUUGUCAUCAAAGGAGAUAAACUUUCCAUAUCCACUCGGGUUGACACUUCUUCAUAUGAUUUUUUCAUCUGUGCUUUGUUUUGUACUCACUAAAGUUCUCAAGAUUUUGAAAGUUGAGGAAGGAAUGACACUCGAAAUAUACACAACAUCAGUCAUUCCAAUUGGUGCAAUGUUUGCUAUGACUCUUUGGCUUGGAAACACUGCAUACCUCUAUAUAUCUGUCGCCUUUGCUCAGAUGUUGAAAGCAGUCAUGCCUGUAGCGGUUUUCAUUCUUGGGGUGGCAGCCGGACUUGAAGUAAUGAGCAUGAGGAUGCUUUUGAUAAUGUCUGUGAUAAGUUUUGGAGUAUUAGUAGCAUCUUAUGGUGAAAUUAAUAUUAAUUGGAUUGGUGUUGUUUACCAAAUGGGAGGUGUUGUUGGUGAAGCUUUGCGACUUAUAUUUAUGGAGAUCUUUGUUAGGAAAAAGGGUUUGAAAUUGAACCCCAUUUCCAUGAUGUAUUACGUGAGUCCUUGCAGAAUCUUGAUUCGCUGUGCAGCGCUCUUUGUCUGUUAGUCCCAUGGAUAUUUUUGGAGAAACCAAAGAUGGAUGCACAGGGGACUUGGAACUUUCAACCACUCGUGUUAACACUCAAUUCUAUGUGUACUUUCGCUCUAAAUCUUUCGGUUUUUCUCGUGAUUCAACAUACAAGCGCUCUCACAAUCCGUGUAGCUGGUGUUGUCAAAGAUUGGGUAGUGGUCUUAUUGUCAGCAAUUCUUUUUGCUGAUACAAAGCUCACCUUGAUAAAUAUCUUCGGUUAUGCUAUAGCCAUUGGUGGUGUUGCAGCAUAUAAUAACUUCAAGUUGAAAAAAGAAGCCACUCGAGCUGCUAGUUCUGAUAAUAGUUCCAGCUCUUCUCCUAUACCAACAGCUUCUUCUUCCACAAAAGCGUCUAGCUAAACGACACUUGGAUCCACUCAAUUGGUUAGUUGUAUCCUUUUAUAUAAACUUCUUUUUAAAAAUCACACAGGAAAUACAUCUUCAAAUGGAGUAGAGAAUAGUCAAAGCAUCUGUAUUCUGUAGGUCUGAAUCUUGGUAUAGCUUGAACUUGUAAUUGGAUUCUUUUGAGCACCCCAGAAUUGCCAAGUACAAAUUGUACAAUUGAUGGAUGCUCAUGUUGAAUAGCAGACAUUUUGAAGUUCUAUUUCUGAAAUCGAUGUUAUAGAGCUUUUGCUUCUGCAAUUGGUUUGGUCA